GACACCAAAGCUGGUGCCAUUGCAUGGGAUUCAGAAAGAGGAGCAGACCUCUGGCACUUUACAACCCAGUGGAGUGCAGAAAGGAAAAGAAACAUGCAGGAAAUUAGAGCCAUUAAAGAUGGAAAGUUAUGCUUUCUAAAAAGGUACUAAGGCCUGGCAAAGACUUGUAGGUGUGUAUUACAGGCACUGGAACUGCUCACAUGUACGUGUACACCUGGUUUCAAAAUCAGGCUUGAUUUGCGUAUGCUGGUGAGGAAAUUGAAGCACUGUUAGUGGAUUAUUUUUAACCUGUGUUCUUUCAAAACCAGGGCAAUAGAUUUCUGGGACUCAUUUGUGUAGUUCCAUCACUGUUCUCAGCUCUUCAUUACAAACCAAAGCUAAUAGGAGCUGAGAAAUUUGAAUUGAUUUUUCUUUCAAGCACAGUGAGGUUGAACAUGGCUUUUUCUGACAGCUUGUCUGAAACCACAAAAAUGUGCGAAGGGAAAAUCUGUUUCUCCUCUGGACAGGGUACAUGCAUGGGGCUGGAUGCUUGGCUGGUGAAAAUGGGCAUCUCCUCCUCAACCUGAAUGGGCCUUUUGCUGGUGCAACUUACUGCUUUCCCUUUAAACAGGGGAGACAAAACGACAUCAAACUAUUUUCUCAUGCCAGGAAAAUCUUACCCUCACCUAAAGGUGAUAAAUGACCAUGGUGUACACAGAAACCCGAAGCCCUUGCAGCGUGCCCAGCCUCUCUCGCACCUUUUGCCCAUGGACCAUGGCAGAGCAGUACUCCCCGCCUGCAUGCCCAUCACCCGAGGAUUCCUUGAGCUCUGCCGGGGUGCUGGCACACAAACCGGGCUGCAGCACGAAGCUGAGGCAUGAGCAACGCCUGGUUCGCUUGCAGAUGGGGAAACCAAAGCCACGGUCAUCAGAAGGAAACCUUCCCCAGCGGGAUGGCCCCGCUGCUCGGCCGUGCCCCGAAACCACGGCAUGCGGGACGCCGGGGUCAGCCCGUUGCGGAGAGGUUGUCAUAAAUCUCUGCUUCUGCCCUUCUGCUAAUGGGCUGCUUUGUCCAAAGUGAGCAGGAUCCUCAGACAAUGUGAAUCAGUCUAGUUGCCCUGUGAUUGGAGCCCUGGCACUGAAUUAACCCAGAUUUCUGCCAUAGCAGUGUCCGAGAUGGGAAAUGAAGUCAUCUGCAGAAACUAGAGCUGUUUGGGAAAUGUGUUAUUAACUUCUGCCAAGAAAAGCCGGGUGAGAACAUAUGUUUCUGGGGAGGCAAGGGAAAACCCCUCUGAUUUUUCUUUUUCUUUUUUUUUUUUUUCCUGUCUAUUCAAAGUCUGAAGCUCAGGGUUUCAGGUUCCUGGAGUGUCUACUGGUAUUAAUGCAUUUCUCAACUCACAAAGAAGAAUUGGUUGGGGAAAUGGGUUGGUUUGAUCAAAAAGCAAUGUCAUUUCUGUGUUGUUUCAGGAGUAGAGGACUACCAGCCCGACUCUGCCAAAGAAACAGUUUUGCAUCCUCCAAAAUGGUGCAUGUGGCAAGGACCCAGCCCCAGGCUCAGCAUCAAGCCCUAACCCUACUGCAAUUCCUUGUUGCCAGGUCUGAAAGGAUUUACCUGCUCAGGAGCUUCUUUUUAUCCUGAUAGAAAUAACUGGCAAGGGAAUUUUGACAGGUAAGAGACAGUUGGGAGAUCAAGAGGAACCUCUGGGGCCGUUUCAUAUGGCUUGAAUCUGUGUGGUAAUUCGAUUUCUUCUCUGCAAUGUUUGUUAGUUUUACACCGGCUUGAAGAUCUGAAAUGUGCUUGCUGAGUUAAUCUGCUUGCAAACAAGAGAUAAUUGAAACUAGUGCUGCAGCUCAAAUGCUACAUGAGAGAAUGUAAGCACAUGUGAAAGGGCACCCCCCC